rnacentral:lncRNA from 10 species
CGGGUCCCCUUCCAGUCUGUGGGGUAUUUCCUCUUUUGCUGUUUGCAGUAAAUCUUGCUGCUGUUCAUUGUUUGGGUCCACACUGCCUUUAUGAGCUGUAACAUUCACUGUGAAGGUCUGCAGCUUAGCUCCUGAAGCCACUGAGACCACGAACCCACCAGAAGGAAGAAACUCUGAACACAUCCGAACAUCAGAAAGAACAAACUCUGGACACACCGCCUUUAGGAACUGUAACACUGACUGAGAGAGUCCCAGACUUCAUUCUUGAAUUACAGGGCUUUGACUCUUGGGUCUGAAGAAGGCACCAGCCCCUGCUAAAUUCUGAGCAUUGACACCAGUGGAAGCCUCAUCCUCAGACUUGGAAGAAGGUGGUCUAGAGAUUUCCUGCCUUCUGAAGCUUGUCUGGGAGGCAGGAAGACCACGGCGGAGGAGAAAGGAGCACUUCUACACACCUCCUCACUGACACCCCUGCCUGCCUUUGUCAGACCUUCGGAGGAGGCACUCCAUGGAGAAAGGGCUCCAGCUGACACUCUGAGUUGUGCAGCGUGGGGUGGGGUCCGGAAGAUGUACUAUUCCAGGAAACGAUUCUACUCCAAGAUGGGGGGGCCAGCAGAAUCGCCCAGGCCAGGCUGUGGCAGAUGAGCCGUCCCUCUUACAGGCAGGUGAAUCGGGAGCUGUCCCUCUGCCUGGAAUACUCCCCUAAGGCCCUCCACA